rnacentral:rRNA from 1 species
UACAGCCAUAUCACAUUGACUCACCAAUUCUUGUACGAUCACUAAAGUUAAGCAACAUCAAGCCUGAUCAGUACCUAGUUGGGUGACCACUUGAGAAUACCAGGUGCUGUAU